CUUUUAUUUUAGGUUCGGGAUACAUGCACAGGUUUGUUUUAUAGAUAAAUUGCUUGUCAUGUGGGUUUGUUGUACAAAUUAUUUUGUCACCCAGAUAGUAAGCAUAGUACUUGACAGGUAUUUUUUCUGAUCCUCUCCCUCCUCCCACCCUCUAGCCUCAAGUAGGUCCCAGUGUCUGUUGUUCUCUUCUUUGUGUCCAUGUGUUCUCAAUGUUUAGCUCCCACUUACAAGUCAGAACAUGCAGUAUUUGGUUUUCUCUUCCGCAUUAGUUCACUUAGGAUAAAGGCCUCCAGCUCCAUCCAUGUUGCUACAAAGGACAUGAUCUCUUUCUUUUUUAUGGCUGCAUAGUAGUCCAUGGUGUAUAUGUACCGUAUUUUCUUCAGUCUACUGGUGAUGGGCAUUUAGGUUGAUGCCAUGUCUUUACGAUUGUGAAUAGUGCUGCAGUGAACAUACAUGUACAUAUAUCUUUAUGGUAGAAUGAUUUAUAUUCUUUUGGGUAUAGACCCAAUACUGGGAUUGUUGGGUCGAAUGGUAAUUCUGUUUUAAGUUCUUUGAGAAAUCGCCACACUGCUUUCCGCGGUUACUGAACUAAUUUACAUUCCCACCAGCAUUGUAUAAGCAUUCCCUUUUCUCCACAACCUCACCAGAAACCAGCAUCUGUUAUUUCUUGACUUUUAUUAAUAGCCAUUCUGACUGGUGUGAGAUGAUAUCUCAUUGUAGUUUUGAUUUGGGUUUCUCUAGUGAUUAGUGAUGUUGAGUAUUUUAUAUGCUUGUUGGCCAUGUAGCUUCUUUUGGCUAGGGACCUGUGAGUCUCCCUAGGUUUCUUGCACUUACUAAGCCUUCAACAAAUGGUAGAAGAGUCAAUUCUCUUGGUGUUUCAGAAGAAAACAAUAUCACAGCCCCUCUCCACUGGAUAAUACUAUAAAUCUUAAAAUGAAUUUUCAUUCAGAGUAAUAAACACAAGCCAAAGAACUUUGUAUAACAUCCGUCAACUUUUUGUGUUAUCUAUUUCUUUUCCAAAACAUUGCCUCUGGUUUUAAAGGUAACUGCCCACAGUGUUUCACUAAUAACAUUUUAAGCAUUACAAGUUCAACACUGAAGGUCAAAUGACAACGAACUUUCAGUGCUUCCAAAAGCAGGGGCAGAGGGCAACUGCUGAGGGGGGCAUUGUAUAGCCUAACCUUCCCAGAAUUUGAUUUAAAAGUAUGAUCUUCACAGCGUUGGCCAGCAAUAUCAUGGUCACUCCCUACGUCAUUCCCUGGGAGAAAAACAACCCUAGGUUACCUAAACAAUGUUGGCGAAGACCAAAUAUUUAUUAACAUCCUAAGCCGCCCCAUAAUCAAGCCAAUGCUGAUAGGGACAAAGAAGGUGCCAUGUGCAGUUUUUCUCCAUGUCCCCACAAUAUCUGCUCUGAAUUUUAAAAGGCAAUUACUGGGGGAGAAGGAAGCCUAUAUAUUAUGUAGGAUCCAAGUCUCAAACUGCUUUCCUAGGGAGUGUGAGGUUCUUGGAGAUUAAGUGCAGUACCUUUCUGUCUUGAGCCUUGUAGGCUGCCCCUCUAAUUUAAUGCCAGUCUUGAAAUAAACAGAAUGCUUUCCAAGUCAUCGCUAAUUUUAACACUUUAAAUUUAGAAUUGCUUAGAAUUGACUCAACACUGCCUCCUUGCUGAAUGGAUAAUUCAAGCAAACAACUCAAGAGCUGGAUGCUGCCCAGACAGGUAGGCAGCCAGAUAAAGUGAGUGUCCAGGGAAAGAGCAGUAAGGGUCAGAAGAGAAAGAGCCUGGUGUUCUCACUGCCUCCUGCCUUCCUUAUGACUGUCUGUUCAGAAGUCCUCCUAGCAUCUUUCUUCUGCCUUCCCCUGCUCCUGUCCCUGAAACCUUUUCUUCAAAAGAAGUGGAAAAGAGGAACUGGGAACCCAUAUAGCAACAGCAUCACCUGGAAUGAAUUCCUUUAGAACAUACUGUCUUGGAAAUCUGAAGCCUGCAGGGCUGGACAGGCAAGAAGAGCAGUGAGCACUGCAUGAACCUAGUCUUGCUGUGUCGCCCAAGCUGGAGUUCAGUGGCACCAUCCUGGCUCACUGCAACUGCUGCCUCCCAGGUUCAAGUGAUUCUCCUGCCUCAGCCUCCCGAGUAGCUGGGAUUACAUGUGCCUGCCACCACGCCUGGCAAGUUUUUGUAUUUUUAGUAGAAAUGGUGUUUUACCAUGUUGGCCAAGACUGGCCUAGAACUCCAGACCUCAAGUGAUCCACCCGCCUCAGCAGCCCAAAGUGGUGGGAUUACAGGCAUGAGCAACUGUGCCUGGCCUAGCCAUUUUCUAUAAACCUGAAAAUAGAUGCCAGAAAAGAAGGUGCCGCUAUAAAAUGCUUUCUUGAGUGAUUUAUGUCUAACAUACAAUUAAACAUUUAUGAGAAGGAAAUUAUCAGGUUAAAAUAUAAACUCACUUGCCAAUUAUUUGAUUUUCAGGAUAUCUGACUUUUGUUAAUUACUGAAAAUAAAGUAUUAUUUCUAAUCACUAUUGGUAUCACAAUAGCAUUUUUAUUUGGCCGGUAUGUGUGAGGCCUGGAGUAUGACGGGAAACUGUCCUAGAAAAGGCCCUUGCAUUGGCUGUAGAGAGUUCUGGAACUCUCAAGAUGGCAAGAUUGUAUUUAACUCUUUUAAAAACAAUGCACCUUUUCAAGCACAGAUUUUCAUCUGAUGUUGUGACCGUCAAUUAUGUCAGAUUUGUUUGAUAUAUUAAAAAAUUGGUUUCUCCUUUGCACAAAAUAAAUUAUAGAUGGAUAUAAGAUUUAAAUAUUUUAAACAAUAUAGGGAAAAUAAUAUAUUUGAAACAUAGUAUUAGG
rnacentral:lncRNA from 10 species